rnacentral:rRNA from 1 species
AAGUGAAAUCUAUGGGCUCAACCCAUAAACUGCUUUCAAAACUGUUUUUCUUGAGUAGUGCAGAGGUAGGCGGAAUUCCCGGUGUAGCGGUGGAAUGCGUAGAUAUCGGGAGGAACACCAGUGGCGAAGGCGGCCUACUGGGCACCAACUGACGCUGAGGCUCGAAAGUGUGGGUAGCAAACAGGAUUAGAUACCCUGGUAGUCCACACCGUAAACGAUGAUUACUAGGUGUUGGACAGUGCCGCAGUUAACACAAUAAGUAAUCCACCUGGGGAGUACGACCGCAAGGUUGAAACUCAAAGGAAUUGACGGGGGCCCGCACAAGCAGUGGAGUAUGUGGUUUAAUUCGACGCAACGCGAAGAACCUUACCAAGUCUUGACAUCCAGGUGGUGCAUGGUUGUCGUCAGUUCGUGUCGUGAGAUGUUGGGUUAAGUCCCGCAACGAGCGCAACCCUUACUGUCAGUUACGACUCUGGCAGGACUGCCGUUGACAAAACGGAGGAAGGUGGGGAUGACGUCAAAUCAUCAUGCCCUUUAUGACUUGGGCUACACACGUACUACAAUGGCGUUAACAAAGAGAAGCAAGACCGCGAGGGGAGCAAAACUCAGAAACAAGUCCCAGUUCGGACUGCAGGCUGCAACUCGCCUGCACGAAGUCGGAAUUGCUAGUAAUCGUGGAUCAGCAUGCCACGGUGAAUACGUUCCCGGGCCUGUACACACCGCCCGUC